UACCACUGAUGCUAUAAGACAUUGAUGAAAUAAAUUUUAAAAGACACAGAUAAAUUGAAAGUAUUCCAUAUUCGUGUAUUAGAAAAAUUAAUAUUGUUAAAAUGUCCAUAUUCCUCAAAAUGAUCUACAGAAUUGAUGCAAUGCAUAUCAAAAUUUCAAUGGCAUUUUUCACAUAAAUAGAAAAAAAUUCUAAAAUUGAUAUGAAACCACUAAAUAUCUUGAAUAAUCAAAGCAAUAUCAAGAAAGAACAAAGCUUAAGGCAUUGCUUCCUGGUUUCAAACUAUAUUGCAAAACUGUAGAAAUCAAAACCUAUGGUACUGGUAUAAAAACCAGUUCAUCUUAGUCUGUCUUCUCCCUUUAAUGAUGGGUGAGUUAUCACAGCUGUGGAAAUCAUAUCCUGUUCUUACAGUUGGAAAGCCCAUUUGUGAAAGAUAAGACAUUUGUAAUUGCAAAUAAGAAAGAUCCUUAUAUAAUUUGGAUUAAAAACGUAAUGAUGUUUAUUUGAAUAUAUGAACACCAAGAAUUUAGGAGUCAGUAGUCUUUGUAUACAUUUCAGUCAGAGCUCAAGUGCCAUUUCUCUAGGAUUUCCUUUUCUGUGCUUUUUCCUUUGUAUGUUUUUUUCCCCCUCUAUACAGGUUUCCUUUUAUAACUCAACAUAGUUGCUAUCAGCAACUGCGGUACCAAUUCUUUAUCAGUUCUAGAAGGGGAAACAUAGGAUACUUUCUAAAUGUAUUUUUUAAAAAUCCUAAGUAUCUCUCUUUUUGGACAAAACAGAAAAUUUCCAAGGCCAGGGCCAGGGGCUAGUUACUAAAGCAAAAAUUAUUGCACAUCAUUGAAUCAUUAAUACAGGAAAGAGGAUACACUACGCUUGUUGAAUUUUACAAGUUAUAAACAGCUCAGGAUUUGGGGUGUGAUUAUUAUCAAAUGCCCUGUCAGGAGGAUAAAGGGGUUGGAUUUUCACAGAGGAACACACCUGGAUACUAUGUAAAUAAAGCAUAAAUGAAGCAAUGAAGCCAGAUAUGUACCCAGAGAAUAUCACUGUGCACACAUCCAGGCAGAUAACUGGAAUUGGGAAAGACUUGACAUCAUAAUCCAUUAAGAUUAAGAAGCAUAAAAACUGUACAAGUCUUCUUUGUUACUUAGUAUUUCCCAAACACCACAUUACUGCCAUAAGAUAAUCCAACUAUAAAGAUGUACAGAAAGUGAAGACAUCCCAAAUUUGGCAGUCCUUAAAUUAGAAAUCAACCACUUUCUUAUUGUCAGUUUACUGUUGACACCUGACAGCUAAGAAGUAUCACUCUUUCAAUUUUCCUUAUGUCUUUGGUUGUUCCUUUUCAGUUACUUUUUUGACAAUUUACAUUGUGCAGGGUCUGCUACAGUUUUCUUUUGUUUAAAUGGUAGUAUAAAAAAGCCAUGGUCAUUUCAACACUCUCUCUGAAAGUAACCAGCCUCAUUGAUACCAAAAGUUUAGGUAACAUGAUUUUUAAGCCUAAGGCUGGUGAUAUUUCAUAUUUUAGACAAGCUGAUGGGUCAUCUGAUGAAGGUAAAAUCAAAGUCCUCCCCCUCCUCAGAGAAAAAAGGAAUUAAGUGAAUGCCAGAAAAAUUGUAAAUGUUGCUUAUUAAAUAUUUUGUAAACUCUUCUUUCUAAAUACAGGUUCCUAGUGAACAUUACUGCUCUCUCAAGGAUCUGUUCAACAUUAUGAUAAUUAAUUUACCUAAAACUCCAGUAAGACCACUUGGCAACCAUAUUCUAGGUCUACAAACCAAGUGACUGCUUAGUAACUCCUUAACAAUUUAGGGACUUUAUAAUUAGUUCUUUCCUGACAGACAUUUUCCCAGAAACAAGUGCUUACAUUUUCUCUCUCUCUCUCUCUCUCUCUCUCUCGCUCUCUCUUUCUCUCUCUCUCUCAAUCUCUCAAGAAACACCAUUGCAAACAAUCAUUAUAAAAUGGAAAUUAAAGAUGUAGGCAUCUAACACACAGGAUAUAUUUAAUAAAUUGUGAUACAUUUAUUGAACUGAAUAUGGUUGAACUAUUAUAAAUGACACUGUAGACAUUUUUUAUAUUUGUUAAAUUACAAAAGGCAGAUAUGGGGGAAGAAGAGGUGGAGACAAUAAAUGAACUCCUUUUACAUCCUCUUAUACAAUUUCCUGCUGGAAUGGUUUUGCCAGGGUAGAUGAGAAAGAUCUUUUAUUAACAGCACCUGAUGUGGGGAGGAGCAGAAAUCAGAGCCAAGCAAGUGAGCAGAGCAACCCCAGGACACUGAGAAGAGAUGCAGAUUUCUGACUUUCUCCUUAAGCAAGAGACUCACUGCUGCUCAGCAUGGCUCAGACCAAUACAUUCUUCAUGCUGAUCUCCUGCCUGAUGUUCCUGUCUCUGAGCCAAGGAUAGGAUGGCCAGACAGAGUUGCCCAAGUCCCGGGUCAGCUGCCCAGAAGGCAACAAUGCCUAUGGCUCCUACUGCUACUACUUUAAUGAAGACCUUGAGACCUGGGUUGAUGCAGAUGUGGCUCUACUGCCAGAAUACGAAUUCGGGUAACCUGGUGUCUGCGCUCACUGAGGCUGAGGGUGCCUUCGUGGCUUCGCUGAUUAAAGAGGGUGGCACCAAGGAUUGCAAUGUCUGGAUUGGCUUCCAUGACUCCCACUGGGCCAGUCUGCUGCAUCUUCUACCUCCUUAUUAUCAGGUUUCAGAGGGAAGAAGGAGGUGUGAUGUCUGGCACCGCAAACACCAGUUUUUACCAUACUAUGAUAAAAGCAACCUCUCUAUAAAUCCUAUAAUGUACAGGAUAUUAAGUUUCUCUAUAGGUCCUUAGAGAUAAGCUUAAAACUGAAUAUCCUCUGUGUUUCAGACAUUCACAGUAAACUCAUUUUGUCUACUUCUAGGGUAGCAUCUUAUAUAUCUGUUAUGCACCUCUUAUCUAUUGUGUUAUCAUCUUGUAAACCAUAUAGAGAAAGGUAAUAGAGGAGGAGAAUGUGCUGCUUGUAUUUGGGAAACUCAAGGUAUACUAAAUAAUAUAUCAACAACUAAUGGCCAUCCAAUGCUAUGCUGGAUAUGAACUUUCGGGGCCUCAGGAAAGAAAAAUCAGGAACCAGUUUCAAUAAUGAUGUUUUAUGGUUCUCUGUGUCAUAUUUAGAACACUUACUGUUUGGCAGGACACAGAGAGGUAGGUGAAGAUUCCAGGAAAGGAGAAGCUUAGAGAAAAUGUGGAGGAAAUGUGUGACACUCAGAGAUAAAGCAAGGUUUAUCCUUGCCUUAUGUCUUGACCGGUUUCUGAAUCAAGAAACACAAGUCAAACACAAAUCAGGUGUUUCUUUCUCUUUCUGAGUCUCGUCCGCCCCUGCUCUGGCCCUUCUCCAUCUAGAACCACCACUGGCACUGGAGCAGUGGGUCCCUGGUCUCCUACAAAUCCUGGGACACUGGAGCCCCAAGCUGUGCCAGUAUUGCCUGUUGUGCAAGCCUGACUUCAAGCUCAGGUGAGAGGUACAGCAACCUCACACUUACUGCCAUCCUAUCCUAUUUGUCUCAGGAUUGACCUGGGGACUGCAAUAGAGGAAAGGUGAGCUCCGCAUUCAGGAAAUAGAGGAGCGUUUCCUCUUGACUUUUCCUGAGUUCUGCAGCCUAGAGGGUAACACAUUCUGAUCCCCUCAGUUUGAAUCUUCUCAUUGGCUUAUAGGAUUCAAUAAAUGGAAGAAUGAUUCUUGUAAGGAGACGUUCUCCUUUGUUUGCAAGUUCAAAAACUAGAGGUGGCUGCAAAGUGGAUGUCUAGAGUAUGUCUACUAAUUACUAUGGAGUAAAAGAAUUAAACUGGACCAUCUCAUCUCUCUCCAAAUCAAUCCAGACCAUCUCUUCUCUUCUGAAUUUGCAUCACUGACCUGUAGUAUCUUACCUACCCCAGUUGCGGGGGUCCUAAAGAAUAAAAAUAAACAUGUU